ensembl:lncRNA
AACGCUUUCACGACAGAUUUCAAAGGAAUAUAUUGCAACCACAGUAAGCCCUGAAAUGUGAGUGCUGAGGAAAAUCCAUUGGAGUUUUGAAAGAGCAGUUUUCAGUUCUGUAAAAAGCAGCACAUUUAUCAGCUUAUAAAGCAAGCCAGUUCUUCAGUGAGUUUAGCCUACUAGUUACUUCUUCUCACUUUGGCAGUUACUCACUAGGAACCUGAUUGCUCUGGUUUUGGUAGCAGGUUUGGGUUGAAUUGGUUGAUUGAAUUAGUUGGUUAAGUUGAUCCGGGUAUGAGAGAGGACGAUUUUCAGCUGCUGAAAAGAUACAACCAUGGCCCCAAAUUGGAUAAACUUCUUCCCUUUCCUGAGGAGAUUGGUUUUUGGGUCAACUGUGGCUGAGAAGUGGGAGAUGAUCAUUCCUGAUGAGCCCUGGGAACCCUAGCAACAUCUGGACCUCUUGAAUGGUCUAGGCCUUUCCACUCCAGGGCUUCCGAUACAAUGGGCAAGGUGAGAAUGUCUACAUUCCCGGGAUGGCCCACAGCCAGGAUUUUAUAGCUGAUCUCAAUCUGCUCUAUUGUGGAGUUCCUGUAAAUCCUCAUCCAGGAAACAGACACAAAUAUUUUCUAGGUCGAUGAUAACCCUCCUAUCUGGGAAAUCAAGCAAAGUCAUCUUCAUCAGCUACAGGGCUCCAUUUCACAAAGUAUGACUGAGUGAAUUUCCCAGGAAGCAGACAUUGAGCUGGAGGUUAGCAUGCAGGAGUGAUUUAGAGACUGCUUUUGUGAUUAACACCUGGAAAUGAAAGAUAGCACAUAACUGGAUCAUUAAAAAAAGAAAAACCUGUUCUGCCAGUCUCUGCCUUUGGAUUGGAGUGUUGAAUCCAUUUACAUUUAAUGUAAUUACUGAUAAGGAUUCUACAGUGAAUGACGAGCAGUUUGUUCCUGUGUAGAGCUGCCAUAUUAGCAGGAAGCUGGGAAGUCUGACGGGUUUUCCCUUCUCUCUCAGGGGCAUGGAGUGUGAAGAAACAGGAGGAUCAAAAAGGAGCCACUAAAAAGCCAUAUCGCAGCCUUGCUGGAGGAGCCUUCUCUUUUCACUGAGAACAUAAGAAUUUGCAGCAUUUUUGGAGGAGGCCAAGCCUUACUUGCAGGAAGAUAGCACCAAUUAUAUGGACACAUUUUUAAGGAAUUAACCCUAAAGGAAACACCAACAUUCUUAGUGACAUAAGUGACUUGGUAGAUUACAGAAUAGUGAUGAGAAAUAUGAAUUCAUAGCAUAAUUCAUUUCAAUAACUCGGCAAAGUGAGAGAAGAGGAAACAGAAAGAGACAGAGAAAGAGAAAGAAGAAGGGAGGGAGGGCAUUUGUGUAUGUGUGUGUGCGUGCACGCUCCAUCUGUGCCUGAAAUUUGUUCCAUAUUUGCUUGGAGUCCCAAUUGUUUAGGGGGAUCCAUAGUAGAUGAGCCUGUUCCAGGACUCAUGGAAAAUAGUUCCCUUCUGCAUUGUUUGGAGCUGGACUCUGCCAGUGGUGGAAGAAAACUUUUAAACACAAUUACACUAUCAAGAUGUACAGUGAGUGAGUCAAAGGCCUGGACCAGCCUGGCCUGAGAUGAUAGAAUCAGAGGUAGGUCAUAAAUCUCCAGCUGCCUUAGAGUGUACGCCACA